GUGAACCGAUAGGAUGGAAGCAGAUGAAGUUGACGAACGUGUGUCGUAUUCAAAAUCGCUGUCAGCGGUUUGUUUUUACGGCCGAUGUGGGCCGGCGGCUUUGGUCAAUGCAACGCGUCUAGCGUCGAUGGUGACCCUGCGGAGGGACAAUCAGUCGUCGUACGGUGCUUGGUAUGGCUAAGGUUUCGCCGGUCUUAAAGUCAGCGCCUCAUCUGACCCGUCUUGAAACACGGACCAAGGAGUGUAGCGUUUGCGCAAGUCUUAGAGUGUAUCGAAACUUUGAGGCGUAACGAAAGUAAAUGCAGUUUAAUCUGCUGACUUGGGAUGCGUUGUCUCUUGUGGACGGCGCUGGACCAAGGUUUUAUCGCGAUCGCUUGCGGUGCGGUGAAAAUAGAGCGUAAACGGUGCGACCCGAAAGAUGGUGAACUAUGCCUGAGCAGGAUGAAGCCGGAGGAAACUCUGGUGGAAGUCCGAAGCGGUUCUGACGUGCAAAUCGAUCGUCUGACUUGGGUAUAGGGGCGAAAGACUAAUCGAACCAUC
rnacentral:rRNA from 1 species